CUACGCUGGGCGGCUCCAAACCCGCCGCGAGGGCUGAGGUGUUCACACCUGCCCACGGCAGCCUGCCUCGCCCUCAAGCGCCUCAAAGCUUCCUAAGCGCUUACAUUGGUCUUGGGACAGCCGACUUUGGCUUCUUUGUUUGUUUGAGGGACCGCGGAAGUGGCGGGGAAUGUGCCCCCGCUUGAGACCGCUUAUUGUGAGCCCUCAACGGAAAUCCUGCACGGAAGGCAACCGCCUCCCCGCUCGCGUUAGAAGGCUUCAUUUGCUCUGAGUUAUCAUUGAGAACUAAAUGGAGAAGAAAAGAACUGAAGGCCUGAAGAUAUGUCAUCUGUAGAAAAGAUGGACAUCUGAAAUCAUCAAACCCUUGAGAGAAACAGCCCUCAUUCUUUUAUGAGACAACCUGGAAGAAAACAGGACUCUGAAGAUUUGUCUCCAUAUUCUCUGGAAAGAUGUACUCUGUUUGCAAUAAGAGGGAGCCACAUGGUUUAUUAGAUGGUUAUUAAUUGAGCAUUCUGUGCAAAGAAGUUUGUGCCUUAGAUUUAGAAUUCCACCCUCAGUUGGAAUACAGAUGAUCCCUAACAAGUCACAUGAAAAAAUGAACUGUGGAGCCAGAAGAGUGAGUUCUUGGAGAACUAAGGGCCAGAGACCUGUGAGCAAGAUUUGAUAAUUUUAUAAAAAUUAAAAGACGAUUUGAAAUGUUAUUGGUCUUACUAAAACUUUUACUUGUGAACUGCAAUUGAUGACAUGAUCACUUGUGCCAAUUAUAAUUUUAUACCAAA
rnacentral:lncRNA from 1 species